UACGUAGGGUGCAAACGUUGCUCGGAAUUAUUGGGCGUAAAGCGCACGUAGGCGGCUUUGCAAGUCGGAUGUGAAAUCCCUCGGCUCAACCAAGGAAGUGCAUCCGAAACUGCAGAGCUUGAGUACCAAAGAGGAUCGCGGAAUUCCCGGUGUAGAGGUGAAAUUCGUAGAUAUCGGGAGGAACACCAGUGGCGAAGGCGGCGAUCUGGGUGGAUACUGACGCUGAGGUGCGAAAGCGUGGGGAGCAAACAGG
rnacentral:rRNA from 1 species